ACUGGGGACUAGUUCUGCUAGUGCUUCCCUCAGUGUUUGUCUCCUGUCCUGAGCAGGACCAUCAGCCAUCCUCCACCACCCCAGUGGGCUCUUUGAUUUUUGAAUUCCUGGUAACUUUGGGUCCUUUCUCCAGGUGGACCCCAAGCUUGCAUUCAUGGUACACUAUGAAUUUUCUUUAGUUCUCUCUGCUGCCUCCCCUGUCCUGGCCACUCACAUAGUCUCAUUCCCCUUCUGGAACCUCGGGCUGCUCAUUCCCUGCGGGGUCCUGUCCUGCAAACCCGCCCCUCCCUCUCCAGUCUAGGUCCUUUUGACUACUUGGUUCAUCAUCAUUCAGGCAAGAUGGUGCACGGGGACGUGUGUUCGUGUUUCUGGUGUCUGUUCGUGUUUGCAUGCACAUGAUCACACUUGAGCGUGAAGAAGGACAAGAGAGAAGAGGAAGACAUAAGAGGGAGAGAGGAGAUAUGUUCCAAGACCCCCAAAGGAUGUCUGAAAUCUCCACUAAUUCCAAGCUCUCUAAACAAGCAUUGGGACACUAAAUAGGUGGACCUGAUAACUGAGAUGGCUAAGUGGCUGAAGGGCAAGUUUUGUGUACAGUGUGGAUAUCCUGGACAAAGCAAUGAUUCAUAUCCUGAACAGGACAGAAUGUAAUUUCACCAUGUUACUCAGAAUCAUGCACAAUAAAAAACUUAACAAAUUG